rnacentral:rRNA from 1 species
AGACUGGGAUAACUCCGGGAAACCGGGGCUAAUACCGGAUAACACCUACCCCCGCAUGGGGGAAGGUUGAAAGGUGGCUUCGGCUAUCACUUACAGAUGGACCCGCGGCGCAUUAGCUAGUUGGUGAGGUAANGGCUCACCAAGGCGACGAUGCGUAGCCGACCUGAGAGGGUGAUCGGCCACACUGGGACUGAGACACGGCCCAGACUCCUACGGGAGGCAGCAGUAGGGAAUCUUCCGCAAUGGACGAAAGUCUGACGGAGCAACGCCGCGUGAGUGAAGAAGGUUUUCGGAUCGUAAAACUCUGUUGUUAGGGAAGAACAAGUGCCGUUCGAAUAGGGCGGCGCCUUGACGGUACCUAACCAGAAAGCCACGGCUAACUACGUGCCAGCAGCCGCGGUAAUACGUAGGUGGCAAGCGUUGUCCGGAAUUAUUGGGCGUAAAGCGCGCGCAGGUGGUUUCUUAAGUCUGAUGUGAAAGCCCACGGCUCAACCGUGGAGGGUCAUUGGAAACUGGGGAACUUGAGUGCAGAAGAGGAAA